rnacentral:rRNA from 1 species
UACGAAGGGGGCUAGCGUUGCUCGGAAUGACUGGGCGUAAAGGGCGCGUAGGCGGCUUGGCAAGUCAGGCGUGAAAUUCCUGGGCUCAACCUGGGAACGGCGCUUGGGACGGCGAGGCUGGAGUUCGGGAGAGGAGAGUGGAAUUCCCAGUGUAGAGGUGAAAUUCGUAGAUAUUCGGAAGAACACCAGUGGCGAAGGCGACAUACUGGUCCGUUACUGACACUGAGGCUCGAAAGCGUGGGGAGCAAACAGG